rnacentral:rRNA from 1 species
AACGAACGCUGGCGGCGGGGUUUAGGCAUGCAAGUCGAGCGAGAAAGGGGAAACCCGAGUAAAGCGGCGUAAGGGUGAGUAAUAGGUAGUUCACGUAUCCUCCAGAUGCGGAUAAUUCCCCGAAAGGGGUUGUAAUACGCGAUGAGACCACGCGGGAUCCGUCCUGUGAGGUCAAAGGUUCGGGAUCCUUCGGGACCGAGCGCUGGUGGAGCGGACGACCUCCGAUUAGCUAGAUGGCGGGGUAACGGCCCACCAUGGCGAUGAUCGGUAGCCGGCCUGAGAGGGUGUUCGGCCACACUGGGACUGAGACACUGCCCAGACUCCUACGGGAGGCUGCAGUCGCGAAUCAUUCACAAUGGGCGCAAGCCUGAUGAUGCCACGCCGCGUGCGGGAUGAAGG